rnacentral:rRNA from 1 species
UUUAAAAAAAUUAAAAACGACGGGCAAUAUGUGCAUAUUAAUUAUAAAAUAUUCAAUAAAAAAAUUUAUUUAAAUUUAAUUUUAAAUCCAAUUUUAAAUUAUUAAAUUACAAAUAACUAUCCAAAAAUUUUUUAAAAAUAGUAUUUCAUUAAAAUUUUAAUUAUUAAAUAUAUUAUGAUUUGAAUUUUUUUUUAAAAAGAAAUUAAAAUAAUAUAUUAUAAUAAUUAUUUAAACAACAAUAUAUAAUUUAUUAAAUUAAAUAAUUGUUAUUGUGUAUUAUCAAAUUAAUAAACAAAAUCCUCUAAUUUUAAAAAAUACUACCAAAUAAAUUAACUUUUUAAUUUAAAUUAUAAUAAUUAAAAUAAUUUUAUUUUAUAAUA